AGAGGCUUCUUUUCUACCCUCCACUGUCUACCGUGCUCCAGCCAUAUGGGAUUUUCCUCUAGGUGGAGGCUUUGGGCCAUGAAGCUCUGUCUCCCGGUGAGCUGGGCAGACAACACAGGAGGAUCAGAAAACCCAGAGAGGUGUCAUCCUCUGGGAAGGAAGAAUGAGAGAAGCUGCCUACUCCAUUUGUCCCAAAGGUUUGUUCUGUUUCUUCCGCACAUUGUUGAUGCCAUCUAGCCCUCCCCUCUAAGGAGGGGGCCAAGAGGACAAUAUGAGAUUUUAUUCACGAUGAGCUUCUGUGGACUAGCUUGUGUCCUAAACAUCAGCAUAAAAACUCUUGAUUAUUGAGACAGUGAGGAACUUAAGACUAUUGAAAUUUUUCUGUAUGUUCAAUCUCAUAUUUGACUUUGAAUAAACUUUCUUUUACCCUGUAACAAGCCUACAA